rnacentral:lncRNA from 1 species
AUAUAAUGGGCAUUCGAGACCAAGUGGUAUAAGCAUGGUAUGGGACGUGCAGGUCUGCUUGUCCAGUUAUAUGAAUUAACGGGAUUAGAUGAAGAGCAUUCAUGCAUUAACACUAUUAAUGUGAUAUUUGGUUGUGCGAUUGCAUGUCACUUAAUUUAGUUUUAUCAAUCUACUAAGGUAAGGUCUCAUUCCCUACUGAGUGGUGG